UACGUAGGGGGCUAGCGUUGUCCGGAAUCAUUGGGCGUAAAGAGCGUGUAGGCGGCCCGGUAAGUCCGCUGUGAAAGUCGGGGGCUCAACCCUCGAAUGCCGGUGGAUACUGUCGGGCUAGAGUGCGGAAGAGGCGAGUGGAAUUCCUGGUGUAGCGGUGAAAUGCGCAGAUAUCAGGAGGAACACCGAUUGCGAAGGCAGCUCGCUGGGACGUCACUAACGCUGAGACGCGAAAGCGUGGGGAGCAAACAGG
rnacentral:rRNA from 1 species